UACAGAGGGGGCAAGCGUUGUUCGGAAUUACUGGGCGUAAAGGGCGCGUAGGCGGCCGCCUAAGUCAGACGUGAAAUCCCUCGGCUCAACCGGGGAACGUGCGUCUGAUACUGGGUGGCUUGAAUCCGGGAGAGGGAUGCGGAAUUCCGAGGUGUAGCGGUGAAAUGCGUAGAUAUCAGGAGGAACACCAAUUGCGAAGGCAGCUCGCUGGACCGUAACUGACGCUGAGACACGAAAGCGUGGGUAGCAAACAGG
rnacentral:rRNA from 1 species